UACGAAGGGGGCUAGCGUUGCUCGGAAUCACUGGGCGUAAAGGGCGCGUAGGCGGCCCCGAUAGUCAGGCGUGAAAUUCCUGGGCUCAACCUGGGGACUGCGCUUGAUACGUCGGGGCUGGAGUGCGGGAGAGGGUCGCGGAAUUCCCAGUGUAGAGGUGAAAUUCGUAGAUAUUGGGAAGAACACCGGUGGCGAAGGCGGCGACCUGGCCCGUUACUGACGCUGAGGCGCGACAGCGUGGGGAGCAAAC
rnacentral:rRNA from 1 species